rnacentral:rRNA from 1 species
UACAGAGGUCUCAAGCGUUGUUCGGAUUCAUUGGGCGUAAAGGGUGCGUAGGCGGCGCGGUAAGUCGGGUGUGAAAUCUUGGAGCUUAACUCCGAAACUGCAUUCGAUACUGCCGUGCUUGAGGACUGGAGAGGAGACUGGAAUUUACGGUGUAGCGGUGAAAUGCGUAGAUAUCGUAAGGAAGACCAGUGGCGAAGGCGGGUCUCUGGGCCACUACUGACGCUGAGAAGCGAAAGCAUGGGGAGCGAACAGG